UUUUGCAUUUCUGUCAGUUUUUUUUUUGCUAUGUUUAGCACUUUUCAAGAAGUAUUUGUGCCUAAUUAUUUGUCUGUAUUCAUAUCAAAAUGGGUGCCAUGAUAAUACAGAAUCCAAGAAAUCGGAUGUAACUGCUUUGAUUUUCCUGCUGUUUUGUUAGUACUCAAAGAAUAAGAGAGACCCCCCCCCCCAGUGGAAUUGCCUCUUUACACCAGGAAAUGAGUUUUAUAUUGUGCAUGCAUGCAAAUUAACUUCUUAAGGUCCAUAGUAUUUGAUGACUUUAAAACAAGCUUGUAGAAGAAAUAAUAUAUUGAAAUUUUUCAGGCUUUGAACAGGAGAAAUGUGUGUGAAUUCAAUGCAUGAUAUAAAUGGUUUUUCAAGUCAAAAUACUUGCAUACUUCUGCCUAAAUUGUCCCUAAAUCCGUCAAGAUUGAUUUAUCUGAGCAUGUUCAUUGCUUGAUGUCUCAAUUUGUAAACUUGAAGCUGAAUGUGUCCCUAUUGAACAAUGUUUUGUAUUGAGCUGACCCAGGGUGAUUUUGAAAGUUCCAUUGUUGGUGAUUAAGUUGUGUUGGCUGAUCAAGACAUAUUAGGUGUUCAGAUUAUGCAAGGAUGAACAUAAUAGUUACACCACUUUUCUGUUGUUUUUCUUGUUGUCUUCCAUGGGUUUGAUGCAGAUCUGUGCGUGGCACAGCUUUUCUAUUUCUGUAGGUUCCUUCCACAAAAUCUGGAACACUAACUUUAAUAGUGUUGUGGUUUGCAAGUAACAAACAAACAUAUAUUACACUGCAAGUUGAAAUUUAGAAUUGUAAGGGAAUUGUUGCAUUCGAAUCUCAUGUUUCUCUAAAUUGCAUUGUUUGUUCUUAAAAUAUUUUUGAAUAUUUUGAAUGCUUUUGAGCAGAAAAUGAAUGAAAAAUAUAUUAUUGGUUCUAAGAAUUCAGACCUGUUAGUUGUCAGAUUAGAUGUGGGAUUGCAAAUGGGCCUUAGAGAUUAAUGUUUGUUAGUGAUGCUUAUUAUUUAAGGAAGAAGGUAGCAUAUGUUGAACCUGUUGAAAAGUUGUAUGUACCUGGGUGAUUAGUCACAGUGAUAUUUUCAAACUAAACUGUUAUUCCAGUUAAUAAUAAGUUAUACAAGGUUGUUUAUCAGAUUUGUUUCCCUGUGUCAAUUGAAUAGCAUUUCUCAUUCUACACAAAUUUUUGUAUGAUUCUCAUUUCCACUGCCAAGUACUGUAUAUGGUGUGACUACUGAGAAAUAGUCCAUGCAUUUGGAGAAAUUAGAUGAUCUUUACUAUAUUUAUACAGAUUCUUUAAAGAGUUAUCAUAUUUAUUUACACUGAUUUUGUAAAUAAUUUUGUAAUCAUUUCUUUCAUCAACUUUUGAUCUAUCUCAUCUUUUUUUUGUUGCUAGCCACAUCUUUUUUGGUCAUUUGGUUCUCACUUAUUUUGUAUGCCACAGUGAAGUGGAAUGGUCCCUAGAGUCUAUGCAAUCUUUAAGAGGGGCUAUUGAGAGAACUGGCUAGCAAACCUGAAUCUAUGUAAUGGGGUAACAAUAGUCUGACUGAUAAAGUUGUUUGCUGAGCUAUAUAGAAAAACAGCAUUUGGUAUUCUUCCUGAACUGACAGUUUUGCAGAUCUACUGCGUAUGUUUCCUGCCAACUACUUGUAUUUGCAUAUUUUCCCAAUAAUCAUAGUGGGAAGCAGUACCACACACUGUGUAUAUCCACUCAGAAAUAAGGUGGAGUGGCCUUGAAUAGUAACCAUGGGCAGCCAGUUCAAAAAUCUAACUAUAUUCUUGUAGUAGUAGCGGUAAUGAGAGUAUGACGAUCCCAGCAACAGAAUACUGCAGAACCCAUAUCCAUGGGUUCAUUUAUCCACACAUGUUUCUAGGAAUUUUCUAGGUCCUUCAGGGGAUUCAGUGAUAUUUUCCCCUGAAAUGUGUCCUCUAGGUCCUUGUAGUAGGGGGGGGGAGGAGUUGCAUUUCCAGCUUUUAAAAAUUCAUUUUAGCUGCAUCAGCACUCCUUAUUUUAUUUAAUUUGUAGCUUAUCUUUCUCCCAAUAUGGGACCCAAAUGCAUCUAAACAAUGCUUAGCACAAGGUUUUUGAAAAGAUUUAAGUAGAUAAUUAUGUUGAAAUUAAACUUAAAACAUUAAAAAAAUAUAUAAAUAUUGGCCCACCCCAUUAAAACUACUUGGAAUGUGGAAGCAAAUGAAAAUGACAUAAAAGCAUCAGAUGAAAUGCCCAUAUUUUCUGCAAAAUUAAGACAUGGCAGGAAAUAGAGUGGAAUUUUCCAUGAAAGUUGAACUAAAUUAGUUUUAACUUUUGAGUAGUCUCAAUUUGUCAUUUUACCCCCAUCCUGUUCAUAGGCAUUCUAAACUGUCUGAAACAGGCAAUAAAUAGCCCACUGCGGAGAAAUCGUCAUUAGGUUUUCCUUGAUGAAACCUCCUUGUAGACAGAAGGUGGUCUUUCAUUUCAUUUCUAAGGAGGGUUUUUAAUGACUGCUUCUCUUGGUGUGGGCAAAGGUUGUAAAACAUGGAAGGGAUGUGGCUAAAUGGGCUCCUUUAUUUUUAUACCGUGGUUCUAGCUGUGUUGACAGCUAUGACUAAAACAGUGUUUUCCGUUUUGUACUAGAAAGAUAUGGCAUUGUCGCAAACUGCUUCAAGAUGCAUGGAAAGAAUAAGCCGUGUAGAAAUACUUAAACAAAAUUUUCAUCACCAAAAUUAUCUAAGUCAGUGGUUCUCAACCUUCCUAAUUCACCGACUCCCUAAUACAAUUUCUCAUAUUGUGGUGACCCCCAGCCAUAAAAUUAUUUUCAUUGCUACUUCCUAACUGUAAUUUUGCUACUGAUACGAAUCGUAAUGUAAAUAUCUGAUAUGCAGGAUGUAUUUUCAUUCCCUGGACUCAAAUUUAGAACAAAUACCCGAUACACCCACAUUUGAAUACUGUUGGGGUUGGGGGGAUUGAUUUUGUCAUUUGGGAGUUGUAGGUGCUGGGAUUUAUAGUUAACCUACAAUCAAAGAGCACUCUGAACCCAGCCCACAAUGGAUCUGCACCAAACUUGGCAUACUACCUACUUACAUUGCCAACAUUGAAUACAGGUGGGGUUGUGGGGGGAGGUUGCUUUUGAAUUCUCAGAGUUGUAGUUCACCAACACUCAGAGAGUGUAGAUAAAGGUGGCGAGGUUAUAGUCAUCUAGAUUGCACAUUAUGGAAUAUGUUAUCAUUUUCACAUAUCAACAUGCUUUGUUUUAAUGUGCAGAAACAUAUUUGGAAGCAAAGUAUCUCAAGAACUGGAAACAACUUUGUUAAAUUAUAGCAUUCUAAAGCUGUCCAAGAGCCCCCGGUGGCACAGCGGAUUAAAGCGCUGAGCUGCUGAACUUGCUGACCAAAAGGUUGGUGGUUCGAAUCCGGUGAGUGGGGUGAGCUCCUGCUGUUACCCCCAACUUCUGCCAACCUAGCAGUUCAAAAACAUGCAAAUAUGAGUAGAUCAAUAGAUACCACUCCGGCGGAAAGGUAAUGGCAUUCCAUGCAGUCAUUCCAGCCACAUGACCUUGGAGGCAUCUAUUUAUUUUAUUUAUUUAUUUACAGCAUUUAUAUUCCACCCUUCUCACCCCGAAGGGGACUCAGGGCGGAUCACGUUACACAUAUAGGCAAACAUUCAAUGCUGGCUCUUAGGCUUAGAAAUGGAGAUGAGUACCAACCCUUAGAGUCGGACACAACUAGACUUAAUGUCAGGGGAAAACCUUUACCUUACCAAAGGUGCCCAGAGUAAUAGCACACAAUCUUAUCUUGUCUUUAGGUUUUCAUUCACGCCCACUUUAGUGUGUUCAAACAAUGUUUUUCUGCCGAUAGUCCUAAACUAGGCUGGAAUACACUAACCUAGUGCUACCUUUUAAAAGCCACAGUUUUUUUUUAAGUGAAUGUACCUGCAUUUAAAUGUUAAACAUGAAGGAAAUCUAUCUAGUGUCAGUAUCAGGAGCAAUGCUAAUGUUUAACAUACCACAAGCAUUAAAUAUAAACUUGCAAAAUUAUCCAGAAGCCAAUAUUCAGGCUUCUUUAAGUCCCAUGGGGCAACUUUUGUUGGCUCUCUUCAGUAGAAUAUAAGUGUACAAUUGGAAGGGAGAGGAAACUCUAUUAAAGUUUAUGGCUAUUGGGACUGUGUGAGAACAGCUCGUUCCACUUAAGAUUCUAAAAAGCUUUGCUUUUAUCUUUUGGGUUUUUUAAAAAAACCUGCUUUGUGAAAAAUCUCAAUAGCAGGAUGUUUGAUUUCAUUAAAAAUGGCCUUUCAGUUUCCUAUGCUGGAAGGUGUAGCCUCUUGAUUACAGAACAUUUGACCCGAUGUUCUUUGUCUGUGUGAUAAUGAAAUAUGGUGGUGGUCUCGUAUUAUUUACAUAAGCUUAACUGUUACACAAACUGGAAAUAUUGAAACUGUAGAUCAUAUUGUGGAUUAUUUCAGAGCUAAAGUUGCUGUUAACUGAGAAGCAAAGACAGUGGCGGCCUUCUUAUACAUUUACCAUCAAAAUCUCUAUUGAAUGGUGGAUCAAACUUAGGGACUUACAAUUUGGGGAAAGUAUAAUGUACUGCUUAAUUUUGGGUUGGGUCUUCAAUUUUCCUUCAUAGAUGAAAGGGUUCCUUCAUCUACAGAAAGUUUGAUUCUGUGUCUUGUUUCUACAGGCAGUUAUGAACAAGAGAGGUUCAGCCAAUUUUUAAAAAAGUUUUGGAUAGCACAGGGAAAGGUUAACACCCCUAUGGUGUUUGUUUUGCCCUUUUUCAGGAGAUCACCUCACUUCCUAUUCUUGUGGUCAUUGGAUUUUGAAAAAUGUGGCUUAUUGUGGAAACAAGGAUUGGGGAUAAAGCUUCAGUAGAGACCCCUCUUCCAGGAGUGAAUUUCCCUUCUGUGGGAGUAUAUUUCUCUCACCUCACAUUGUCUCACCUCUGUUCUUUACUAUGAGUCAUUUAUAAGUCAUAUGUUUGUAACUCAGGGACUGCUUGUAUUGGCAAUUGUAACUGAGCACCUGAAGACCAUAUGGUCCCAUAAAAUCUGCUCCAAUGUGGAAAAAAAUGUAGAUCCUUAUUAGCUAAAGAAAUCCUCUCUUUUUCCAGGGCGGAAGGUUAGUUGUGGGAAUGGUGCAUUGUUCAAGCACAACUCAUAGCAUUCAUUAUCAUUGGAUGUGCAGCUAGGGUUACUAGGAGUUGUAGUCCAAUAGCAAUUUUGUUGGGGAUUGUAGAUGUUAAACGGAAGCUCUUAUAUGUGCCUGAAAACCCAAAGUCACCCUGCAGGGUAAUGACAUACCGCUCAGAAUUGUAGAACAAAUAACACAAGAACUUUACUAACUUUAAGAGGUAAACAGAGCAGUGGUAUUUACAGUAGUCCCUCUGAUUGCUUACAGAGAUCAAUAGUCAUUAACAGUUCUUUUUAAAAUACAUAAAUCUGCUUCAUUGCCUCAGAACAGAGCCGGCCCUAGGUAUUUUUCAAGUGUAGGCGAACAGAAUUUUGGCACACCCCCCCCCCAAACCAAUAACUGAAAAAUAAAAGCGUUGGAUAAGCGAAAAUGUUUGAUAAUAAGGAGGGAUUAAGGAAAAGCCUAUUAAACAUCAAAUUACAUUAAGAUUUUACAAAUUAAGCACUACUAAAACAUCAUGUUUUACAACAAAUCAACAGAAAAGCAGUUCAAUACCUUGCGGAGGCAGGCCGCAGGAGACAGGAGUUGCCUCGAUGGCGCCCCCAACAAGAUGGCGCCACAGGCAACUGCCUAGUUGGCCUGGUGGUUGAACCGCCUCUGCCUCAGAAAUAUCAAGGACUCAGAGAGCAGGCAGCCAUCUUGUCUCCAGGCUGUAUCUCAGUCAGCUUACACACUUUCUCUGAGGUAAACCUACUCAAACCAGUUCUUCAGCAUCAUGACAGAAAAAAUAUCCAGUCAAAUUCUUAGCUCUUUACAGGUUCAGCCAAUCAGCUUCUUACACUUAGUUUUCCAGUAAAAAUUUCAGUGUCUUUACAAACCAUAACAAAUUUUACCUCUAACAGUGAGUUCACCAGUAGUAAUGAAACAGAAACCCAUAUAGUUUAAAAUACAGUGGUCCUCCCUUGGUGCCUGCUGGGGUUUGGUUCUAAUAAUAAUAAUAAUAAUAAUAAUAAUAAUAAUAAUAAUAAUAAUAAUAAUAAUACAACUUUAUUUCUAGACUGCCCUCUCUCCCCAGGGAGACUCAGGGCAGUUAACAUACAUAUAAAACGUAUUCAGUGCUACGACUGCAUUACUUAAUAUCAAAAAGUAUAAAAUAACAAUAACAUACUUCUUAUAAUAAAAAUUCCAGAUUAGAAAGAACAAUACAUUUAAACAUAACAAUCAGUUAAAAAAAAUUAUUGCACAGAAUGUAUACCCGGAUCGAAUUAAAAUGACCAAAUUGCAGAAGGUGUCUGGUAUUCACUCUAAUUCCAUUUAGACCAUUACCUCUAUAAGGUGAUGGCUAUGUUAAUCCUCCUCCUCUCCGUACGCUAAGGUAUAUAGAUGUGUCUUCAACAGUUUCUUAAAGGAGAAGGAGGGUGGGGGCCAUUUUUAUUACUUUAGGGAAGUUCCAGAGGCAGAGGGCGAUCACAGAGAAGACCUCCUCUCUUGUUCCCACCAGCUGGGCUUGUGACUGGGGUGGGACUGAGAGCAGGGCCUCCUCCACUGACCAAAGUACCCAAAAUGUCUGAGAUCCACCCCCUGUGGAUACCAAAAUCCAUGGAUGAUCAAAUUCUAUUAUGUACAAUGGCGAUUUUACUACAUCUUGGCAGGGGGUUGGACAGGAUGGCCCACAAGGUCUCUUCCAAUUCUGUGAUUGUAUGAUUCUAUAGUAAAAUGGAAUGUUUUAUAUACAAUAGAAAAAUCCUAAUUGAAAAAUUACUUGGGGAUUUUUUUAAAAAAUCAAGCCAUGGAAUCCAUGGAUACAGAGGGCCAAGAUUUCAAAUUUUGAAAUAAGUGAUUGAGCGACACUGUUGAAAACUGUUUUCAUUUUCAACACCUGAUUAAAGUAAGGGGAUUUUUGAGCUGCAUUUAAGUGGAUAAAGACUUUGAAAACUUUUAUGUAAUUUUCAUGACCAUGUCAGCGACCAUCAAACUAAAAUGAUGAACAGUUCUAUUCUGUUAACUCAGUCAGAUGCUCACUGCAUGAAGAAUCAUUCAGAAGACUAUGUGAAACUAUUAUUACUCAUGAUUUGUCCAUAUUCCAAAAGAUGAGGAUGAGGGCUUGAAGUAUGUUAGCUUUUUAUCUGCUAGUUAAUUAAAGGAAGUGAGCAACUAUUCCUAUUGCUAGUUUUAAAAAAAAAGAAUACGACAAGAUAAGACAGGUUUUGAUCUGCAAAGAACUCCUGGGUCGAAAAGUACAAUUAUAGAAAGUUUUUGAUAGAAAGUUACAAUACAACCAAAAUUUAGCAGUCUUAAAUGCCAAAGAUUUUCAGUGGUGCUCAGCUAUGCUUACCUAUAACUAGAUCAUGUCUUUCACCAAUUUAUUCACAGAAAGCAGCAAAAUACUGCAAAUCUUAAAUUGUUCACAUGUGUAGCUUUAAUUUCCAAUGGGUCAAUGUACACAAAUUUUGUUUUAUGCAUAAAAUUAUUGAAAAUAUUGUCUAAAAAUAACUUAAGGCUAUAUGUAUAAGAUCUCUAUAUCAAUCUUUAUUGCUGUCUGAAGACCCAGUUUGCUCAAUGGAAAAUACCUGUAUUUGCAGGUAACUUGGAGAUGGUACCCCAAAUUGAAUACAAAAUUCAUUUAUAUUUUAUAUAGAUAAGGUCUGUAUAAAUACAUGGAGCCCCUGGGCUGCUGAACUUGCUGACCAAAAGGUUGGCUAUUUGAAUCGGAGGAGCAGGGUGAGCUCCUGCUGUUAGCCCCAGCUUCGAAAACAUGAAAAAUGUGAGUAGAUCAACAGGUACCACUCCGGUGGGAAAGUAAUGGCACUCCAUGCAGUCAUGCAGGCCACAUGACCUUGGAGUGGUCUACGGACAAUGCUGGCUCUUCGGCUUAGAAAUGGAGAUGAGCACCAACCCCCAGAAUCGGACAUGACUAGACUUAAUGUCACGGGAAAACCUUAUAUACCUUUAAACCUUAUAUACCUUUAGGUUUAUAUACCUUAUAAACCUUUACCUUAUAUAAAAACAUAAAUGAUUUUUGUAUUCAGGUUGGGGUGCCAUCUCCAAGUUACUUGCAAAUACAUGUACAGUAGAGUCUCACUUAUCCAACACUCGCUUAUCCAACGUUCUGGAUUAUCCAACACAUUUUUGUAGUCAAUGUUUUCAAUACAUCGAGAUAUUUUGGUGUUAAAUUUGUAAAUACAGUAAUUACUACAUAGCAUUACUGCGUAUUGAACUACUUUUUCUGUCAAAUUUGUUGUAAAACAUGAUGUUUUGGUGCUUAAUUUGUAAAAUCAUAACCUAAUUUGAUGUUUAAUAGGCUUUUUCUUAAUCUCUCCUUAUUAUCCAAUGUAUUUGCUUAUCCAACGUUCUGCCGGCCCGUUUACGUUGGAUAAGUGAGACUCUACUGUAUUUCAAAAUCUGAAAAAAUCCAAAAUCCCUUAAACUUCUGAUCCCAAGCAUUUCAUAUAAGGGAUACUCAACCUGUAUAACAAUAUGCCUUCUGAUUCAGUUGUGCAAAGGUGUUCCUACGAGAUACCAUCCUGGCUGCACCCUUUCUGCUAUCUAUAUCAAGUAUGCUAAUAGAAUAAAUUUACUCCUUUACUAAAAUAGAAGGGAAUUUACACAUAUUUUCUUCAUUUGAAACCUAGGGUUUUUAAUGAUCUCAGCACAUUUUGGUUCAUUAAAAAAGCAAAUUGAAUGAUUGAACUAUCAAUAUUUAUUGAUACAUGGGCCUCACAACUUCCCUAUUUUUGCUCCCCAUAACCCUGUGCAGCUGGAAAGAAACUUUUAGCUAACAGGGUCUCUGGAUUAUUGUGGUUUGAACAUAAAUGGUAAUGUCGCUGCAUGCAGUCAUGCAAGCCACAUGACCUUGGAGGUGUCUAUGGACAACGCUGUCUCUUCAGCUUAGAAAUGGAGAUGAGCACCAAUCCCCAGAGUCGGACACGACUAGACUUAAUGUCAGGGGAAAACCUUUACCUUUACAUAAAUGGUUUGAUUUUGCAAAUUACCAACUGAAGCAACAUUUCUAGAUAAUUUAGAACUUUUUGCUUUUGGGUUUUCAAGGCAAGAUUUGUUAAGAGAGAGGUUGCCUUUGCCUUCCCCUGAGUCUGAAUGACUAUGGCUUCACCAAGGUCACCCAGUGGGUCCCCUUGGCCAAGUGAAACUCUCCAGAGUUUCAGUUCAGUGUUUAAACCACUCCACCAUGCUGGCUCUAUAGUGGUUAUAUACAUAUUGGUGUUAAAUUAUGCUUUAUAAACAGAAUUAUCCUGAUAUAGUCACAACCUUGCUUAGAUGGAGUAAGCCCUUGGAUGGCCCCUGGGCUUACUCCUAUUAUUAUUACUAUUACCGUGGGUUAUAUGUUGUAUGUUUAUGUGUUAAAUAUUUUGAAAUGACCAAUGGGCAAAUCAAUAAAAUGUAUUGUUGUCAUACAAAGUUAUUAUUAUUAUUAUUGUUAUUAUUAUUGUUAUUAUUAUUACUACUACUACAAAGGCUGGGUAGCCAGGUGUUGGAGGUGCUUUAUUAUGCUUUUCCUACAUGGCAGAAGGAGAUUGGACUGGAUGUCCCCUGAAAUUUUCCACUGAAAUACUAUUAAAUUUAUGUUGGUUAAAAUUGUACUUCAUUUUAAAUAUUUAUUGUUUUUUCCUUUUUUUGCACUACGAAUGAGAUAUGUGCAGUGUGCAUAGAAAUUUGUUCAUUUUCAAUUUGUUCACACAAACACUCUCCAUCCGUCUGCCCAUACCUGAUAUAUAUACAUUAUACAUAUAUAAUUAAUAUAUAAUCAAAUAUAUAAACAUUUAUUGGGACUCCGUGAGAAGCUUUUGCUUCAAAAAGGGCUCCAUGGCUGAAAAUUUUUGAGAACCUCUGCUCGAAUAGGAAGUCCCCAAUGCCUCACAUAAGCAAUCUAGGAUUCAGUUACCAUAUAGAUUACUAAUGCUAUAUUUUUUUAAUUUCACUAAGUUAUCAGUAUAGGCAACAAGAAAUGCAAUGGAUCGAAAGGGCUAAAAUAUUAUUUUUAAAAAUCCAUAAAACAUAACUUUCCCUGAAAACAUUUUUGCCAGAAUUUCCACCUAACAUGCAUCAGGGGGAAAAGAGUGUGGCGUCAUUUAUUUAUUUUCCACCCUGCAAGUUGGGGAAAUAGUUUUUCUUAAUCUUUUUAUUAAUACUCAUGUCACAUGCUAGUUUAUUAUAACUUCAUAGCAGAUGUUAUAUUCUAGGAAAAUUUGUAUUAUUUAAUCAUCCUUCCGUAUGUAGAUAUUGUUUCUUCUAAGUCUUGAGCCAGUUUGAUCCUACCAAUUAUUCCCAGUGCAGUUAUGAAAGUAAUGUAUUGAUUUUCAGUGUUGUCUGGCUUUACUUUUACUAUUCAUCCUCUUCCCCCCACCACCCCCGCAAAAAAAGACCCAAAAAAAAACACCUUGUUUUUCUUAGUUGGAUAUUAAGGGUACAAAAUAAUGUCAUACAAUUUGCCUUUUCUAGAUUUUUUCCCAUUUGCCACUCUAAAUUCUGAUUCAGCAGGUCCUCCAGCUCUUAAGAAUAGAUUUUGGAAAUAACGCAGAGGGUCCACUGAGAGGAGAGGAUUGCGUUAUUCUGCUAUUGAACAAACACUCUAAAUCAUAAGUCGUUUUCUUGAGAGGAAUCAUAUCUGGAAAUACUCCAGUGGUAGGAUAUCAUUUCAUCUCAUUUUUCUGAGUAAUAGGGACACUUGAUUUAUUAAAAUUAAAGCAUUUCUUCUUUAAAGAAUGUACCUAAAAUAUUCUCACUAUGUAACUCCCUAUCAAUAUUGUAUGUUUCUGUGAAGCAAGAGGGUGAUGGUAGCUCUGUUACUCAUAGGGUAACCUAUAUAAGCAGCCUUUUGUUGUAGAGCCAGAGUAGGCAAGUACUGGGCAGAUGCAACAGUGACACUGGCAGGGAUCUCUCAAAUGUCAGUGGCACCACAAUUAAAACUUUUUAGGACAGAUUGAACAUCACUAAUCUGGAAUUCCAACAUCUAAAAUACUCCAGAACCUGAUAUUAUCCACAUGGGUGACUGAGAAAGGGACAUCUUCACUUUCAGAUAAUUCAAUAUACAUACAGUUUUUUUAAUACACAAAAUUAUUUAAAAUAUUGUAUAAAGGUACCCUCAUGCUAUGGUGUAUAAGAUAUAUAUAAACCAUACAUGAAUUUCAUGUUUAGAUUUGGAUCCCAUCUCCAAGAUAUAUUUAUCAUUAAAUACUUAGAUGCAACUACGGACAUUCCAAAAUCUGGGGGAAAUCCAAAACCCAAAACACUUUUAAUCCCAAUCAUUUGGGAUAGGAGAUACUCAACCUGCACUGAUGCAUCAGUAAACACGUAUGAAUAUCUGUUAACCCUUUGAUGAGACAAUUCAAAAUGAAGCAAGAGAAAUAUUUGAAAUAUAUUAAAGUAUUUCUAAUAUUCAAAAUGUUAGAAAGAUUGUUGUUGUUGUUGUUGUUGUUGUUGUUUAUUACCCACCUCUUCUUAUGGCUCGAAUUAGGAAAAGUAAUAGAUUUGAAGCUGAUAAUAUAAAGUAAAAGAUCUAAGAUGCUGCCUUAGAUAUAUACAAGAACUCCUUUGGGUAUAAAAUUUCUGUGCCUUUGCCUUUCUAUCCUGUAUGACUUAGUGGUUUGAAUGUUAGAGUAGGAUGCUAGGACACUAGGACUUAAAACCCUAUUUAGCCAUGGAAAUUCAUUGGACAGGUCACUCUCAGCCCCAAACGAAGGCAAAAUGAAACUCCCGCUGAACAAAUUUGCCAAGAAAACCCCAUGAUAGGUUCACCUAUUAUGCCAUAAGUAAGAAACAACUUGAAGGCAUACAACAACAUCAAGCAUUCAGUAGUGUUGUGCAUGGUAUUUGUUUUAUCUGUUUCAUUCGUGUUUUCAUUUUGUACCGUCCAUUUGUUUCAGAUGAAACAAAAGGUGGCACGAAAGAGAAAGCUGCACAAACACUUUGCUUUGCUUUUGUUUUCAGUUCUAUGCAAACUUCUUCAUGUGUUAGAGGAGGAGGUGUUCCUUGGCAAGUUGGAGGCCAAGGAAACAGUGACAUGGACUGAACAGGGAGGCUAUAUUAAGGGGGUACUGCCCCUAAAGCAGCCAUUGUGGUCGCGUCCUUUGCUGCUGCUGCUGCUGGGUGCUGGUGGGCUGGCUGGCUUGCUCUCUCUCCACUUGGCUUGGCUUGCUGGAUGCCUUGCCUUGCCUUUUGACUUGCCUUGCUGGUGAGGGCACUGGGUAAAGAUUUGGGUUUUAUUUUUUGCCUGGCUGCUUGGCAUAUUUUUAAUUUUUUUUUCUUUGAAGGGAAGGGGCUGGGAUUUUUGAAGUGAUAGGGGUGGAUUUGGUUUUUUUUUAAAAAAAAAUUUCAACGGAAAGAAAUUGUUGGGCUUCCCUUCUCUGUUUAGAAAUCAAACCUGUCUCUCUCUCUAUAACUCGUCCUUGGAAAAAUUACUUUUUAUUUCUACCUAUCUCUCUGUAUUGUCUGUGGCUUGCUCCUCCCUCUCCUUUGAGCUGUAUAGAGAACAAAUACAAUAGGAUAGUCUUAUUAUUUGUUAUAGAUUACAUAUAUUUUUGAAAGCAAAGACAUUUUGGGCUCCUGUCUCUAUUCAAACCUUCAGUCUCUCGCUAAAACUGGCCCUUAGGAGAACUAUAAUUAUUUUCUCCCAAUGGUCCAAAAAUGUUUCUUUUUUCAGGACACGAGACAAAAAUCCAAUUCAGAUAGACACCCUAUUUUCAGAAGCAGAGACAAAAACAAAAAUGAGCCAAAACAAAUGAAACUGAACAAAACGAACAGCGAUUCCAUACAGCUGCACGCCACUAGUAUUCAUUCCUGUCCCUUGCCAACAGAGGUGCUUUCUAUUUUAAAAUAUCACUACAUGAAGUAGUUACACAGUAUGAUUUCUAGUUUUUAUUGUACGUUAUAUGAACUUGUCCAUUAUACCUGUAAAGGAAUAUGUUUCAUUGACACUUGUAGGAGUUUGAGAUAGAACUAUAUUUUUAAAGUUAUGAAAAAAGACUGAACUUGUGAUAUCAAAGCUGUUUUGUUUGAUAUAUUUUUAUGUUCAGAAUACUGCUGUCAUACAGUAAAACAGCCUAUUAAACAUUCUACUGGGAAUCAUGUUAUGGCAGUGUCUAACUGAACUAUGCUGCGUCUCUUUAUUGCCUCUUUUUUCCCUAGCAGUGAAAAUCUGCUUACUAAAUGUUGUUAUUCUAUUCCUUGGUGCACCGUUUCAACUCGAAUUGUAACAUCUACAGUAGGUUGAUAUAGUCCAGAUUUUAUUACCGUUUUAUAUACUAGAUGUAGAGCCAUCAAAUAUGCUGUUGUUUUUCCUUCAGUUUAAAAUAUGGGGGGGGGGGGGGGGUUGCUUCAAAGGAUUGCAGCUAAAUGUCCCAUGUAAUUGAUGAGAUUAAUUUAUAUCUGAACAUUUCCUGUUCAGAGCUUAAAAUGCCUCAACUAAAAGCCGUUUUUGCUUCAUACAUCAUAUAUUCACAACUGUACUGAUCAAAAUGAGUGAUUGCUUCAACUUUCUUUUUAUUGGGCAGGGUACAAAGAGCCUGAGCUCAGCAUGCAUUCAGAAAAAGACAUUGGCAUGUAUUUUGGAACUUGGUUUGGAGGGGGCGGAUCUGUCUAAUCAGUUACCAGCAAUUUAAGUUCUCUCAUCUUCCCCCUCUUUCCUCACCCCCUAGCUCCUCCUGAAUUACGAAAAGGUUGUAUUGUAUUGCUUGGGUGAAGAGCUGGCAGAGUUGAUUAAAUAUUAUGCUAGAUCUUAGUAUGUUAGGGAACUUUGGUUCCUUAAUCAAAAAGGCAUUUUCUGCAUGCUGAUGAAAACUAGGAAUAUGAAGAGGUGUGAUCAUGUCAUGGUGAUCAUGUGAAAAGAUGUGGAGUGGGUAGAAAGCUAACUCUCCCAAAUGCAUUCCCCACUUCAUGCUUUAUCAAUCCAGAAGGUCUCAGUAAUCUCUGAUGCUCCUUUAUAAUCCUGUAUUUGAGUUACACACAGUUGACACCAUACUCUGUUCACAGUUGAUCUCAUCUAAUGGUGGAACAAUUGCAGGCCACUGUUAAAUUAAUCGCAUAAAUGCUAACAAGAACUAUGUGUCUGGAUUACUUCUGUGGAAGGUAAACGGAGAUGAGUGAUAGUGUGGGAAAGCAUAAGAUCUUGGUUAGCAUUUCUUCAUUCUCAUAUACCCUAGAAAUUUGAAUUUAAAAAAUCAAUCUAGAAAACCUGGGUUGACUUUUCUAUGUGAGUAUUGUACCUUCACUUUUAGGAAAAAGGAUACAUCCUGUUCUCUGAGUGGAGUGGCAAAAAUCGAGAGCUUAGUCCAUCCCAGAAGAACCUAAAAUAAGCAUAAUGUCACCACUUCUGGCUUUUCUGAAAACCCACAUAGGAAAACAGUUUCAGGGGUGACUGGUUCUCUGAGGUGGCAUUUGGUGCUUUCCCCUCUCCACAUAAUGACCCUUGACUUAUCCAUGGGUCAUAUCAUAAUCCAUAAUUUUAGCUCCAAAACCCACCCUUGAUUUAUACAUGAGGUCAGCUUAUACAUGAGUAUAUAUGGUAGUGUUGCACUCUAGCACUGGAACAUCCUCCUCACCCAGCACCACACCAGAGUCCAAUAUUCCAAUAAAAGAAUGUUUAUUAAAGAAAGGUUAUAAAAAGGAAAAAGUCAAAAUACAAAAGUAAAUAUAUAAAAUGCACUUCUCAAAAGACACCAGAGUUCAGUAACAGUAAUCCAAAAAUGCCAGGUUAGAACACAAAACCAAGAGAUCCAAAAGCAUAACAUUAAUCCAAAGGUAUAUCCAUGAACCUGAAGACAGGAACUUCUCCAAGGUAAAUUUUCCAAAGAUAUAUAGGCAUAAACAAGAACAUGAAACAGGAACCAUGGCAAUACAUGAAUCAAGAGUUUGGAAUCAUAACCAGGAGACAGAUCUCCUUUAAUAAGGUUGUCUUCUCUGAAAAGCCUGAAAGCAAACCACUUACUUUAAGCCCUCCAAGACACCCAUGAAUCCUCUGAGAAUAUCUAGUCUGCUGACUUUGCAUGCCCUGCGUUCUCAGGUCUAAUCUAUUAUCCCUUGAAAACUACUCCUCUUCCCAAGGCCUUUUCUCAAGGGAACUGGUACUUUCAUUUUCCCUUGUUGCCUGGGAACAGGCUGAAGAAUCCAAAACAUCAGCCUUAUCUGCCCGCAAUUCCCUCCGAACACUCACAGACACCUCAUUUUGGAACCCAUCAUCCCCCUCAUUCUCUGAACAUUCAGAAAAAAUCCUCUGAUGCUUGCCUGACUGCAACAGGUAGUUGGAAUGUGAACUCACCCCAGCAGAGCUAAAAUUAGAAGCAUGUUUUAUUCACAAAGCUCAGAUUAUUUUCUUUAUACACAACCAAAAUUAUGACUCAGAAGAUCAACAAGUAGUACCCAUUUACCCCAUAUUCCACGCAGGAUAAAUACUCCAUCGUCCUCUGAAUCAAGAGUGAUUGAAAGUCUUGAUUGCACCUGAUGCAGAAAUUGGGCAGAAAUUACUUGCUUCCUCCUCCCCAAUAGUGGCUGAUUAGAAAGAACUAAUGAGCCAUGCAGACAGACCCACAGCAUUCGUGUGCUUCUCUUUGGGCAACAUCUUUAGGCUCUGAAAACCUCUGCUUAAAAAGAUAUGGCACACUGUUAGUCCUUACAGCAUGUUGGAGACAUCUUUUUGCACACAAUUUCAGAAUGACUAAACUUGAUGGAAUGCUCAUGAUCUCUCCAAUUGGUAUAUUCAAUCUGUGGUACUUGGUGAGACUAAUUUAGUUAGCAAGGAAGGGUCCCUUCUGUGCAUUGCUGGUGGGCCAUGUCAUUGAGCGAUCACAGCUGGGAAGUAGUUUCUUCUGCAUAUUAGACUUCCAAGGGGUGGGGAAUGCACAGCAUCUUUGGGACAGGCUACCUUACAAACUACUGUGGCACUUAGAUUUAAGAGACAUAAAACCGAUGGCCAACUGUAGCCAAAUUCAUUUGGCAAGCGUUAUUGGUGCUCGUUAGACAAGCCAAAGGGGAACAGAGCAGGAGUCUUUGAAAUAGAUUGCUGCAGAGAUUUGCAGUUGAUUUUAUUCUCUUACAACAGAUUGGUAUGAGAAUCUGGUAGUUUUCCAGACAUUGUCGAACUGCAAAUCCAAGCAUUCCUGCCAUUGCUUAUGCUGUUUGGAGUGAUAGAGAUAUUGCAGUCCAGGAAUAGAGAUGUUCCACCCUGGAAUAGAACUUUUGUGAUAGAAAGGGCUGCUUGCUCUUUUUGAAAGAUAAGAAGGUAUCUUUACUGAUUGUGAAAAUGCACUUCUAAUCAGAGUAUGUUUAAAAUUUGUUUAAAAUAUAUUGGUAAUUAAGAGAAGAAUGUGAAGAGGAAGUUUUUAAGAGGUGAUAAAAUACUCUGUUAUCUCCAUGGAAACAUUUUAAAUGGAGAGUUGAGAGAGAGUUGGUGAUGGCCUAACACUAUAGAAGAAAAUUUUACAGAUAACUGAUGCAAAUGGAUAGUAAAGUAGCAGGGGACUUGUUGAGAUUUUAAACCUAGUUAUUUUAUUUUUAAUGAAAAAGAGCAGGGUUUGUGAUGAUAAGAUUGUAAAGUUUAUUGCUCUGGAUCACCUUGCUUAAAUUAGUACUUGAAGUAACGAAUGAGCAUUUUCAACCAGUACAUGAUUCCAUAGCUACUCUUAACAAUCACAAAAUAACCAUUUUUAAACACCAUGAUCAUGUAGAAGAGAAUUGGUUGUGUAUUCCAGUCAGCAGACUUUUCCAUUGUAUAAAUACACUUUCUAUUAAUAGAACCUGACCUGGAGCACUUUUCUUAAUGUAGCCUUACUCCAUUCUGUGAUUUUUUAAAAGAGACCACCCAUUGUAUGGGUGCAUUUACGGGUAAACACUGGGUAUCAAGAUCCCAUUUAACUGUCAUGUGAAAGAGAAAUUUGUAAAAAGAGAAUAAGUUUGUGUAGGAAGUCUGCUAGAGAAGAUAGAUAAACACACAUGCAUAUGAGUGUGUAAAAUAUAUUUUAAACAACUUUGUUAGCAAAAUUUGCUUUGGCAGCAAACCAUAGGAGUAGAAAACUCCUGCAAGAAAAACAUCACAGUUUCAGCCAAAGAAAACAUUUUCUGUGCCUGGUAGCAUUGCUUGAGUUAUUAAUACUAUUUUCAGCUCUUUUUGAUCACAUACAUUUUAAGAAGACAAAUAUUCAGUAGGGAUCCCAUACAUAAACAACUAGUGUUCCCUCUCCAUUUCAAGACUCCUACAAGGUGUUGUUUGAAAUUCUAGAACAAGUUGCCAUAGUUGUAACCAUUUAAUUUGCAAAGCAUUGUUGAAGAACUUUCUAGUUUAAAUCAUAAAACAUUCAGUGAUUCAUAAAGUACGGUGCUAGUUACUAUAAAACAGCCCAAUUAUUCCUUAACAUCAGAGCAGGUAAUCAAAUCGUAGUUGUGAUACCCAUUCAUUCAAGCUCUCUUGACAAACAUCUACACAUCUUUGUCAAUGGUAGGACUGACACAACUUGUUACCAGCUCCUCCCAUUGAAUUUAGUAUUGAUGAUGAGCAUUCUUGAAUAUGCAGAUAUCUUACAAAUAUUUGAUACUCAACAUUUGAGUAUAUUUCACUCAACAAUUCUUGGUAUAACUUUCAGCACUCUGUAUUGCAGUAGCAUUUUGUUCACUUUCACCCAGGAAGCAUCCCACUGAAUAAGCAAAAAUAAGUAAUUGUUUUAUUCAGAAAGUGUACAGCUGAUAUCCAUACUUCAUUGUUACUUUCUUCUUUCAAUCAACUAGGAAAUCACAGAUUUGGGUUGAGGUUGACAAGACAAAAUUGUUGAAAGGGAUGUGUGCAACUCAAAUUAGCCAAAAGUUCCUUUUUGAUAUAAAAUACAGAGGAGAAGCAUAAUAAGUCAUUUAAAUAUAUAUAUUUAUAUAUUUCCUAGUUCUGACGACUUCAGAUAUCAGUUAUGAGGAACAGCUAAAUUGCUAUACACGAUUUGUGAGUAGAUACAAUUGUUGUAUAUAUACAUUCUAGAUAUUAAAGUAUUUCUAUAUUAUCUAUUCACCUUCUUUACAAAGUUAAUUCUCAUUACAUUAUUUUAUUUUUCUCCCUCCUCCACCACCCUUCCUCCCCCCUCCCCCAAUUUUCCUCUAUAUCUUUAUCUUUAACCAUGAACACAGUUUUCUUAAUCUUUGUACAAUACCUAUACUGGCUUCACCAUCUUCUUCUAUUCAUUUCAUAUACAUCUCCAAUUUCUCCUUAAUUUCUUCUGCUUUAUCCUCAUGUAUACUUUCCCAAACUACACAUGCUAUAAUGUCAAAUUGUAUUUGCUCAAAUAAAUAGUUAUUCCAGUUUUCAAAACUCCAUUUUUUUCAUCUCUCCAUCUCCAGGCUAUUACCACCUUUCCUGCUAGGCCUAUUGCUUUGAAUAAAUCUUGAAUCUUUGCACCCAUGUUUUUGUUCCCUAUUAUUGCCAUUAACAUAAAUUCUGUAUUUACCUGGAUUGGUACUUUGAAUAAUUUCUACAUUUUUUAUUAUCUUUUCCCAAAAUGUUACAUUUAGACAUUCCGACCACAUAUAUGUGUACCAACCUUUUUCUACUUUACAAUGCCAACAUAUUGGGCUUAGCCCUGCUCUCAUAUUUGAUAGCUGGGCUGGCGUCCUAUACGAUUUCCAUAUAAAUAUUCAUUCUAACUCUUUGUAUUUUUCCAAUUUAAUUUUCUUAAUCCCCUUCUUUAUUUCCUCUAUAUUUAUUCUGUAGUGUUCUUACUAUAUCUAUUCAUCGACUUUUAUCAUCAUUUUGUAUAUUUCUCCUACUAAUCCUUUAUUUUCUCUCCUCUGAAGCACUUUUGUUGAGCACAGAUGUUUGUUAAAUUAAAAUCGCUUUUUAACAUUUUGUUUUCAGGUUUUGUGCACUUAAUCCAUGUAUUGUGGCAGAUAACAGAUAACACCUAGUAAUCAGAAUUGUAUCACUUGCUGAGUACAAGCCUAGUAUUUUCAAUGAUUUCUUGACCUGUUGUGUUAUCAUCUUGUUUCAUAUCUAAAUGCAAUAGCCCAAGAUCUGAAAAAUGAUCAUGGUGUAUUAGUGCACAGUCAUUUUGAAAAUUGAGUUGUGUGCUGAGCUAUUUUUUUUCUUUACUAUGUAAAGAGCAAUGUAAUCAAUAUUAUUGACAUAAAUGUUCUUAAAAACCUUUACUUUUCUCUUAAAUCUAGUAGAUAUUAGUUUGAUUUCUCUCUCAUUGUGCUAUAAUAAUAAAAGGUGUGAGAAUUUUGUGUAAAGCUGUUCUUAACUCUAUAUAUUCAUUAUUCAGUCCAUUCAUCUUAAAUGGGUGGCAUGCAUUUACUCACCUUUAUGCAUUAGUUUAUAUGUGUUUGGUGGUUGUGAUAUCAGUGGACUGGUGAAUCUAUUUUAUUCUGAACUUUAAAGGAGCUAUCCAAGAAAUUCUGUGUGUGUGUGUGUGUGUGUGUGUAUAUUCCACUCUAUCACCUCAAGGGGACUCAGAGUGGAUUACAGGUACAUAUAUGGCAAACAUUCAAUGCUGUUAUACAAUUGACAAAGACAGACAAUAACAUAAACAGAAGCAAGGCUUUUCCUCAUUUUUCACUUUUGGCAUCUGGAGGCUGUGCUCGACUUGGCCAUGGGGAGGUGUUGUUGUUCCAUUCUUCUGUGCUGGGGAGCUUGUCGUCCAUUGAUGCCUUCCAUCAGCAUGUUUUUCGAACCACUUGAACUGCUGACCUUCCAGUUGGCAAGAUCUUUCUGUAGCUUUACGGUUUAACCCGCUGUGCUAGCUGUGUAGCUGAACCUAUUUGGGGAAUAGGACUUGUAAUUAAGUAUGGGCUUAUACCUAAGUAAAUCACCACAAAAGAAACUGACAAAAGACCAUACUAAAUGAAGUACUGAAAGAAUAUAUAAUUAUGAAUUAUGUACAAUUACAGUAGAGUCUCACUUAUCCAAGCUAAACGGGCCGGCAGAAGCUUGGAUAAGCGAAUAUCUUGGAUAAUAAGGAGGGAUUAAGGAAAAGCCUAUUAAACAUCAAAUUAGGUUAUGAUUUCACAAAUUAAGCACCAAAACAUCAUGUUAUACAACAAAUUUGACAGAAAAAGUAGUUCGAUACGCAGUAAUAUCAUGAUGUAAUUACUGUAUUUACGAAUUUAGCACCAAAAUAUCACGAUAUAUUGAAAACAUUGACUACAAAAAUGGCUUGGAUUAUCCAGAAGCUUGGAUAAGCGAGGCUUGGAUAAGUGAGACUCUACUGUACUUAAAAUGCAUUUUUAAAAUAACCGGUUAUUCAAAUUUCAACCGUGUAUAGAUAUAGAUGGCAUAAACAUCCAGAGAUUUUGGUUUCCAUGGAGGAGUCCUGCAAUCAAAUUCCAGGAGAUACUAAGGACUUGCACUAUGUCUGUUCUAGAAAAGGCUGCUCUUGUUAAAUUCUUACUGUCAAUGUAAUGCUGAAAGGCACAGAAACCCUGGUGACAAGAAAGUAGUACAAUUUAAGUAUUUGAAGCAAGAGACAAGUGUUUUCCCCCAACAUAAUAUUUCAACUUGCUGCUCACAGUUUGUUUUGGCUGUUGACAAUGAGUAAUGCUGCAAAGCUUUGUACAGGAGCGAUAAACAUAAUUUCUAAUGUUUUUUAUUGUUACAAGUCCCUCUCAUACUAGACAGGAGGGCAGAAAGGGAAGAAAGUACGGGGGCAGAGACAAAAGGUGACAUGGGCAUGAGGCCAAGCAAAGCAAAAGAGCAAAGAAGCAGGAAACUUAAGGAAGAGAAAAUAGAGAAUCACAGGGUGAGGGAGAUACGGCAAAGCUUGACAGUUCAGAGAAAGGCCUGGACUGCUGCCCAGCUCAGUGUAACACUCUCCCUCCAUAAAGCCAGCCUUGAUGAUGUCAGUUUAGUACACAUUUCUUUUUUGUGUUGUGCCUUUCCCCAGUCUGCUUGUUGUUCAUCUUCUUCAGUAUAUCUGUGAAUGCCUAUCAGCUCUUAUUCUCUGGAUAACUCUUAUUUUUAUCACACCUAGGGGAUAGUCUAUUGCAUUAAUGAGCAUGAGGGGAAAAGCCAUAGAAAGUGCAUAGUCUUUCAUCUGACCAAUGCUUCUGUGUUGUUUCAUUCUUGAUAUCUGAAUUACAUUCAUUUCAUUUAGCAUAUAAAAUCUGCACAGAAUCCAGUCUACAUAGCCCAGACCCACACAAUCUUUGCUUGCUCGCUUUUUAUUUUCAUUGUGGGGGGAGCUUAUGUACAUAGGAUUCUCUACUUGUAGCCCCCCUCCUAUUGUGUGCUGGCAAGGACUGUUGAUACAAGGCAGGAUAAGUGCUGUGCAUGAAGUGAAAAAGAUACAAACCUCCCAAGUGUGUGCAGAGCUUUCAAUUUGCUUGCUUUUCCAAGUCCCAGCUGUGAGAACUGCAGAUGUCAUUCAUGUGAGAACAGAUGCUCGCUCCUUCCCUCUCCCGGCUCCCCACCUUCCUUACGUCCUCCCAAAAAAGAAAGAUGUUCCAUUAACUUGCCUCACAAUCUUUUUGAUUGUGAGGCAAGGCUUUAAAAGGCAAUAAAUCUGCCUUCUCAUUAUGAAGAGAUUGAUUUAUGGCAAGCACAACUGUUGGACUGAGAACAUGAAAGUACAGGUUAGCACUUAAUUUUUUGCUGGACUAGACAUUAUCACUGCUGUUUGUGUGUGUUUGGGGAUUUUUUGUUUUAUUACUUGGAUUGGUAAUUUAUAUCUAUGCAUGUCCAACAUCUGUCUUCAUUAAUUUGAACAGAAAUCAAGGAGUUCUACCUAACUUAAUGUUGCAGCCUCUGGAGUCUUUUAAACAAAGGCUGGAUGGCCGUCUGUCAGGUGUGCUUUGAAUGCUAUUUUGCUGCUUCUUGGCAAGGGGUUGGACUGGAUGGCCCACGAGGUCUCUUCCAACUCUAUGAUUCUAUGAAUGAGUUUCCAUUCCAAUACAGGGUUAGAUGGGCAUUUACAUUGGGCCAAAAUGAUCUGAAUAUUCUGUUACGAUGGCCCUGCCAUUUAAAAAAAAAUCACCCUAAUAUAAAUAUUUCUUCUUUGUCACCCUACUAGUCUUAACUGGCUUCAAGAUUGCAGGCUUCCAACUAAAAGAGAUGUCAUAUUGCUAAAUUUGCUAGUCUCCUACUUGCAUUUGAUACAAAUAUACCUUUCCUUCCCGUGGCCCUGCUGUUGCUUGUUAUUCUUGAUAUCCUGAAUGUACCGUUGCCCUCUGGCAAACAAUCAGACCUAUUCCUGUUGCACAACUAAUUGAGGAUUGUCUUGGCAAUUGUGUAUGUAUACUUGAGAGCUUCCCAGCGCCAAGGUUCAUAAGAAGUUCACAGGUUUAUUGGCUUUCAUGCUAAAGCACCAAGGAUAUCAACGUAGCCAACUUAACCAUAAGUUACAUGAAAGGAUGUUGGCAUGUUUCUGUGACGGCGACUAGGUAGCUGACUAGAUACACACACACACACACUUUUAAAUUAUUUUGCAUUUGUAAUAUAAAUCCUAAAGUAUUCUUCACACUGGUAGAAAUUAUGGGAAUUUUUGUGCAGGUUUAAACCUUUCUGGUGAAAAAAUGUAAUUUUAUCAAAACCCUUAUUUUUCCAUAGAAAAACUAUUUUGCACAAAAUGACCAUUUUUGCAAUAACAAAAAAUUUUCUGUUAGUGAUGUUUUUUUUAAAAAAUCUACAAUUUUUUUUAAAGACAAUUAAUGGGAUCGACCAUUUCUUCAGUGUCCUUUUCUCAUAGAGGAUGAGAAAUAAAACAAAUCUUCUUUUCAUUGCUAUACCAGAUGCAUCUCAGCUGAGAUCAGUCAAACUGGAAAGCACUUUUCCCAAUUCCUAAAGCAGAGGCUAUAGGUUGCCUUUUGUAUAGGGCCAAACGAUAUCCUACAAACUAUAUUUCGGAUCUGAGCUUACAGGGUCAGCAAAAACGUUAUGAAUCCAUAUCAUGCGCAAGCAUUGCUUUUUGAGAAGACAAUAAUUUCAUAUGCAACACAUUUAUUGGUAACGAUUUCUUAACAUUUAAUCUGUUGGUCUUAUAAAUGAAUCCUUUUUUUCAUGUUACACUUUGUUCAUAGCAUACAGAGUCAAAUUUAUGCAUUUGGGAGAUUAGAGUUGCUUUGUCUUGCAGACAUUUUUGCUUUUCAUACACCAGCCUUUUCAAAACCGCGUGUUUCCUCUUUGGAUCAAGUAACCAUUUUUUAAAGUACAGUAGAGUCUCACUUAUCCAACAUAAAUGGGCCGGCAGAAUGCUUGAUAAGCAAAAAUGUUGGAUCAUAAGGAGGGAUUAAGGAAAAGCCUAUUAAACAUCAAAUUACAUUAUGAUUUUACAAAUUAAGCACCAAAACAUUAUGUUUUACAACAAAUAGAAAGAAAGAGCAGUUCAAUACACGGUAACGUUAGGUAGUUACUGUAUUUACGAAUUCAGCACCAAAACAUCACAAUGUAUUAAAAACAUUGACUACAAAAACAUUGAUUACUAAAAGGCCGACUGCCUUGGAUAAUACAGAACGCUGGAUAAGUGAAAGUUGGAUAAGUGAGACUCUACUGUACUCACAUCUCAGAUUGAUGUUACUCAUAGAUCACUUACUCCAAUAUAGAUAGAUUGGCCUUUACUUAGCUUGUCCUGACCAUUCUAAUUGUUUCACCUUGACCUAUCAAUUGAGUAUCUGUAUUCCUGCUUGGAAUUCACCUGCAGUAUUUUAAGAUACAGUACCACUGUUGGCAAGAAUCUUACUGGAGAUAAUUUUUAUUUUUAAAAUUACAUUUGUGGGGAGAGAUUUGGCAUGUAAACAAGUGUCUUUAUGUUCUCAAAACAACACAUGUAUUGGGCAAUUUAGUGUGUUAUAAAAAGUCUGAAUUGUACCGAUAUUCCUAUAGCCCUGCCUAUAACAUUGUCAUAAUUCCUUCUAAUAGUAACCUAGAUGGUUGAGUAUGUAUUUAUUUGGAAACAAAAUGAGGCUUUGCCAAAAAAAAAGGCAAGAAGUUUCCUUGCUAUGUUUCAGUAUUGAAAUGUGUAUAUCAAAAGAGAAUUGUUUUUCAAGGCAAAAACAUAGUGACAGCAAUGCACCCAUGCACAACAAGGCAGAUGCAAACAGAUGAAAUAGUAUCAGUAAACCUUAAGCUAUUUUGCCAAACAAGUAUAGGCAAGUCCGGGCUGUGUCUCCUUCCUCUUACACUGGUCACAUAGGCAUCCUCCAGUCUCAAUCAUCUCAGGCCCCCCCCCCCUUUUUUUUUUUUGAAGGGAGAUAAUGUUUAUUGGUUUCUUAACAUUUAAUCUGUUGGUUUUAUGAAUGAAUCACAUUUGUUUAAUAUUUCUCCUUGUUAAAUAGAAUCAGAGUCAAAUUUAAAUUUAUAGAGUUGAGUUGCUCCACUGUUUCGUCUGUUUGUACCUUCUUUAUUCUGCAAGGAAAGGCUUUGUAAAUCAAAGCACCACUUUCUUCCUGAUGAGUGAGCAAGCUGGUGGGAGUGGGGAAAGGGUAGGCUGGAGUUGGAACUGAAACUAAAAAUAAAGUAUUUUAGAUGCUCGGGUCUUGCUUCCCAGUCUGCCCAUACAACAGCCAGAAUUUGGCAUCCCUGCAAUGUAGUACUAGACAUCUUGUCAAAAAUGUGUAUAUUUCGUGUACCGAUGUGCAACCUUUACCCUUAGGAAUGUGGCCAUUAUUUUCUGAACUGUUAAUGAUGUUUAGAUUUUUAAAGGGUAUCUUUGCAUGAGGUGAGGGUGCUGGAGUCUCUUUUUACACAAUGUUUGUUUUACAUUUUUACACAAUGUUUGUUUUACAUUUUUACACAAUGUUUUUUAAGAGUUUGCUGAAACCAAAGUCAUUUGUAAUUAUUUAAAAUUUUGGAGAGCCAA